rnacentral:rRNA from 1 species
AGGGUUUGUUUUUUAGAAAAAGCAGAAAGCGUGUAGAGGUAAAACAUUUAAAAUAAAUAGAAUUUUUUUAGUAAUAGUGCAAUAUUAAAAGAAGAAAAAGAAUUUUUUAUGUGAAGACAAUUUAUUUUUUUCUUUAACACGAAGGUUCUGGGAGCGAACAGGAUUAGAGACCCUGGUAGUCGAUACAGUAAAAGAAAGUCGCUUGAGUAGUACGGUCGCAAGAUUAAAAUUCAAAAAACUUGGCUGUUCAUUGUUAUUUAGAGGAGCGUGUUGCUUAAUUCGAUAAUCCGCGAGUUACCUUACCAAAACUAGCUUUUACAGGUGUUGCA